CAGGAGCAGGGACCGAGCAACGGGAGCUCACCCUGUGUUGCUGUAUGUCGGUUUUAUCUUAUUUGUUUUUUAUCUUACAUUUUGGAAAUGUACAUCCAGUUUUUUCUCCUUUAAUUUUUUGGGGGGAACUUCGGGUGAGUCAGGCCCUAAGCUACAGCUUAUUUAGCUUAUACGUGAAUCCAGCACUGGGGGUCAGGCAGCAAGGCUUCUGAACACUGGUUGCUGGGGGCGAUAAUUGCUCUUGCCAUUGGCCUCAUCCGGCAGAUUCUUAUGUUCAAUGCAGGAGUGCCAACUUGGCCCUGUGACUGUGGGUGCCCGGGGCCAUAGGUGUCAUGUAGCCCUGGUGCCAAAAUUUGUGGGUGCCUGGCCCCUUCAUGGGGAAUUCUGUGGGCACCCAGGGCCCCAGGGAGCCAGCACCUAUGGUUUAAUGUGUAUGUGCCACUUUGCUAAAAGAGUGAUUUUAUUUUUAUUUUAACAAACGCGGGUGUUAUGUGGCACUUGUUAACAGUGCCAGUAUAUUAGGCCAGUAUAUCUCUGUCCUGAGAUCUUCGGAUGAAGGGGGGGGGGGUGUACAAAUUUAAUAAAGAAAUAUGAAUAAAACGUUAGUUGAAGUUUCAUACCACAAUCUGCAUGUUAGGAGAGACCCAACCCGUUCUGAAUCUCCCAUCCAGCUUCCCACACUUCUUGGUGGAAAGCAAAUUGGACGGGAAUCAGAAAAGUGAGAUCAUCCCUUUGGCACUGAAAUAUCCGCAUUGGACAUCAAAGCUGAAAGGGAUCUGAGAAUUCAGGGAGUGUUGGGUUGGGUGCAGCUUGGGAGGGACCAAAAGAUCCCACCUUCUCACCCGUCUCAAACCCCAAAACCUUUGGGAAGAGGAGAGUGGCAGGUUAAGGGAGGAGGAAGAAAACUCCCCAGCAUUGUCUGAAGGUAGUUAAGGCGUUGCUAGGAAAUUACAAAUUAUUGAGUCGUUCUGGAUGAAUGUGGCAGGAUGGAGUACUUGGCUGACAGGAAGAGAACACCCACCUUGCAAGGAGUUGCCAUGGGGACUGUUGCAUGCUUACAGGCGCCUGUUCAGCCAUGGGGGGGGGGUCAUUUAAAUCGACCCUCUUUAAACUUCCCUGCCCCCCAAGUCUCCUCUGUCUGGCUAAACAGCCUCAGAGAUAUGCCCUGAAGCAUAUGUCCAGCUUCAGCCAAGGGGGGCAAUGUACACCAGCCGUUAACCUCUUCGACCUCUCCUCAACAAUUCUGUCAAAUUCACAAUUUAUUUAUCUUAUUUAUUCACCUCAUUUAUAUCCAACCCUUUUCUCCAAGGAGCUCGAGGUGUCUUUUCGUGGUUCUGCCCCUCUGUUUUAUCCUCCCCACAACCCUGAAAGGUAGGGCAGGCUGAGAGGCAGUAGCUAGCCCAACGAGCUUCACACCCAGCAAGCUUCAUGGAUGAGUGGGGAUUUGGUUUUUUUUUUGGUUUUUUAAUAAUUUUUAUUAAAGUUUCAAUCAAAAAUUG